ACAACUUAGAUGAACACAGUGUUAUUAUGAGUGACACGUCACUGCCAUUUUAUCGAAAAAAAUGACACUUCUCGUGGAUUUUUUUCAUUGCCGUUUUCGAAUGUGUAAAGCAGUCACGUAAAAUGGAGAAGAAAAAGACGAAUAAGCGACAAUUUGCCUGCCUCGUAGCCUUCAUGGAGAAGAAUCCCGAAGUAGCCAGAGGAAGUUUGGACCGACAAAAAGCUGCAACUAAAACGAAAGUUACAGCAUAACAAAAAUGAGUUGACGGCCACUGGUGGUGGGCCAAACACUUUACAUUCGUUCAACGACCUGGAAGAAUCUAUCAUUCGUCUCCUUUCAUUAGAAAGAGCGGUGAACCACGAAGGAUCUGUUUUUGGAAUGCAACUACCACCUAGUGCACCUGCUGAUGAGCGCCAAGUAUGUGUGCCUUGCGAAGAAGACCCAAACGAGGAACCGAAUGUCCCGGGCGAUGAGUCUACGCAUGAUAAUACAACACAUGAUGAUGCAACUAGGAAGGGUCAACCAGCAACGCGCGGUCGUGGACAUUCGUAAGUAAACGGAAUUAUCGAAAAGCUCUGCUUGAAAAGCAGACUGAUGAUCUCAGUAAAAUAAAGCGACAUGUAUCAGACUGCGCGCGAUAUUCGCGUAAGUCCUACGAUUUGCAUGGAAUGCGAUUUAAGUUGGAGAAGAAGCGGUUGCAGCUGGACGAGGAGAAAUUUAUUUUCAAGAAGCAGAUGUUACUGGAGAACAGGCAUUGCAUUUAUCGCUCAUAUGAGUAAAUGCGCCCGGAUAGCUUGCUACUGCGACAAUAAAAACUCACAUUUUCACACGAAAAGUUAUUGGCACUCACACAACUUCUCCGGAUAAAUACAACAUGUUAUUUCUCCGGAUAAAUAAAACAGCCAGAGAAUGAGUUUGUCAUGGUAUUCUUCAUUCGCUCGCUGCUUUCCUGUCGUUAUUCCAAAACACGAGAAAACAAGUCUAUCAUAUUUCUUCGCCGCUUUUCUUUGUAAUUAAGUGUAUUUUUUUGAAGUUUUAAUUGAUUUCCACAAAAUUAAAAUUUUAUCACCUUCUCCGGUGAGAAGGAAAAAGUCAAAUAAAUUUUAUCCGGAAAAUCAUUCUCACGCUAUUUGUGGAGACGGAGAAUUUAGCGACUCAUCUUAUCUCGGAAAAGUUGGACCUCGGAUAAGCUUCUUCUCGCGUGAGUGAGAGAGAAUUACAAUGCCUGCUGGAGCAGCAAAAGUAUAAAAGCCAGCAGCUACAAUACCAGUUGCAACUGGUUCAAUACAAAAGCAGAAGCUCGAUUUUGAAAUGGGGCUGUGACGACCCCUUGGUCAGCGCGACUCACUGUAAGGAACAAUGCGCUGUUCGUAGCAACACGUCAUGCCGAGAGGUAAAUGACGUACUAACAAACUGUCACUACGAAUGAUGACUGGCGCAAUUUUCGGAAACCAUGAGUAAUCUACUUGGCGACGAAGACGAAUAGUGCAUUAGUUGUUUUCCGCUAGAAUUAUACGGUUCAUUAAUUGUGAAGUUUCUUCAGCAGCAGAAAUUGGCUUUCGGACGGAUGUGCAUUGAGUAAUGUUGAGAGGUUAAGAUUUGGAAGAAAGGAAGAACUAAGAUAGUAAAGAAGGAAGAAGAAAACAGAAAUAGACUAAACGAUUUUUUUAACGUGCAAUAAUAUACGUUACUGAAUUGGAAACCCGUUUCUUCUUCUACUCCGUUUCGUUGACCGGCGCGUCAACAAUUUAAAAAAAUUAAAGGGUUGUGUACAGGACACGACCACGGUGACAUUAAAAAUAUAGCUUUUUUAUCUAUCACACAUAUCGACACACGUUCUUGUUCACUCGCCUGUUUUCAUAUGUUACAAUUUGCUAUAUACCCUCCCCAUUAAAACAUAAUUUAUUGAAGGUCUUUUAACGGUAAUCUAUUAAUUAAUCAAGUAUCUCACUAGGUGAUUGGCAUUAUUUGGCUGAUCCAUCUAGUAAAAAUAGGCUGGUCUGUCCAGAAAAUAUAUUCAAAA